GGGAGAGGUGCCAGGAUUUCCCCCCAACUGCCAGGACCUCCAAACGGAUUGGAACUAUACUGGUUGACUCAGGUCUGGAGCCCAAAAUCACAGCCAGAAUAUAAGAUGUGAAAAACAAGACCCAGAGAGGGGAAAUCAUUUGAAUCCUGUCCUGGUAUUGCUUUGUGUUCCUGGAUUUGGAGAAUUUCUGGGAACACAGGAAAAGGAAAGUGAAUGCCACCAGGAUCUGAACCCAAGAUUCCAGCCUCGGUCACCACCCUGACCCUGAGAAUGCCACUGGGAUGGGGAGAACUUGUCAGUCUUCAUCCUUCCCCACAAGUAUACUGAAGCCAGGACAGACAGGAUCUUGCUCUGUCACCCAGAAUGGAGUACAGUGUCUCAAUCAUAGUUCACUGCAGCCUUGAAAGCCUGGGCUUAUUAGCUGGGCAUGGUGGCAUGCUCCCAUAGUCCCAGCUACUUGGAAGACUGAGGUGGGAGGAUCUCU
rnacentral:lncRNA from 10 species